UGGGGAAUCUUCCGCAAUGGACGAAAGUCUGACGGAGCAACGCCGCGUGAGUGAAGAAGGUUUUCGGAUCGUAAAACUCUGUCUUUUGGGGCGAACGUGAGUAUGGUGAAUAAUCAUAGUCAGUGACGGUACCAAAGGAGGAAGCCACGGCUAACUACGUGCCAGCAGCCGCGGUAAUACGUAGGUGGCAAGCGUUGUCCGGAAUUAUUGGGCGUAAAGAGCGCGUAGGCGGGAUAGUCAGUCUGUUGUAAAAGUGCGGGGCUCAACCCCGUGAUCGCAAUGGAAACAGCUAUUCUUGAGUGCAGGAGAGGAAAGGUGGAAUUCCCCAGUGUAGCGGUGAAAUGCGUAGAUAUUGGGAGGAACACCAGUGGCGAAGGCGACUUUCUGGACUGUGUCUGACGCUGAGGCGCGAAAGCCAGGGGGAGCGAACGGGAUUAGAUACCCCCGGUAGUCCUGGCCGUAAACGAUGGGUACUAGGUGUGGGAGGUAUCGACCCCCUUUCCGUGCCGGAGUUAACGCAAUAAGUACCCCCGCCUGGGGAGUACGGUCGCAAGACCUGAAACUCAAAGGAAUUUGACGGGGGUCAUAGCUGUUUCCUG
rnacentral:rRNA from 1 species